GACGAACGCUGGCGGCGUGCUUAACACAUGCAAGUCGAGCGAAUGGAUUGAGAGCUUGCUCUUAUGAAGUUAGCGGCGGACGGGUGAGUAACACGUGGGUAACCUGCCCAUAAGACUGGGAUAACUCCGGGAAACCGGGGCUAAUACCGGAUAACAUUUUGAACCGCAUGGUUCGAAAUUGAAAGGCGGCUUCGGCUGUCACUUAUGGAUGGACCCGCGUCGCAUUAGCUAGUUGGUGAGGUAACGGCUCACCAAGGCAACGAUGCGUAGCCGCCCUGGGAGGGUGAUCGGCCACACUGGGACUGAGACACGGCCCAGACUCCUACGGGAGGCAGCAGUAGGGAAUCUUCCGCAAUGGACGAAAGUCUGACGGAGCAACGCCGCGUGAGUGAUGAAGGCUUUCGGGUCGUAAAACUCUGUUGUUAGGGAAGAACAAGUGCUAGUUGAAUAAGCUGGCACCUUGACGGUACCUAACCAGAAAGCCACGGCUAACUACGUGCCAGCCGCCGCGGUAA
rnacentral:rRNA from 1 species